AGUGAACGUUGGCGGUAGGCCUAACACAUGCAAGUCGAACGGCAGCACAGUAAGAGCUUGCUCUUACGGGUGGCGAGUGGCGGACGGGUGAGGAAUACAUCGGAAUCUACUUUUUCGUGGGGGAUAACGUAGGGAAACUUACGCUAAUACCGCAUACGACCUACGGGUGAAAGCAGGGGAUCUUCGGACCUUGCGCGAUUGAAUGAGCCGAUGUCGGAUUAGCUAGUUGGCGGGGUAAAGGCCCACCAAGGCGACGAUCCGUAGCUGGUCUGUGAGGAUGAUCAGCCACACUGGAACUGAGACACGGUCCAGACUCCUACGGGAGGCAGCAGUGGGGAAUAUUGGACAAUGGGCGCAAGCCUGAUCCAGCCAUACCGCGUGGGUGAAGAAGGCCUUCGGGUUGUAAAGCCCUUUUGUUGGGAAAGAAAAGCAGCAGGUUAAUACCCCGCUGUUCUGACGGUACCCAGAGAAUAAGCACCGGCUAACUUCGUG
rnacentral:rRNA from 1 species